UUUUUCUUCAGCUUUGUUAAUAAUAAAUACAAUAUGGGACAGUAUAGAGAAGAUUAGUAUAGCUCGUGAGGGAGGAUGACCUUCAAAUUCAUGAAAUAUUCCUGAUUUUG